rnacentral:lncRNA from 1 species
GGAGGGGAGGAAGGAAGAGGAGAAUGAAGAGGAUGGAAAACUAGGUUUGGGCUAGACUUAGUCAGACCAACCAAAAUCUAAACCCAACCUAUUUAAUAGAUAGGCUCAUAUUUCAAACCUGACCUGACCCACCAAGCUUAAAAUCUAGUUCUAAUCCAUCUAAAAUGCUUAGAGCUUGACCGAACCUAGUGGGCCAUCC